GUGCUCUCUUUGGCAGCACAUACACUAAAAACCGGAACCAUACAGAAAAGAUUAGCAUGGCCCCUGCACAAGGAUGACACACAAAUUCAUGAAAAAUUCCAUAUUUAA